rnacentral:lncRNA from 1 species
CAAUUUCGGUUAGAUCACUUGCAACAAAACUUUGUAGGUCAGUGAGCAAUCCACAAGCUUGGAUAACCUUUUUAUAUCUCUCCUCGAUGUACGGAUAAUCAAAUAAGAUAUUGUCUCGUAUAGUGGCAUUUCUCAACCAAGGUACUUGAGAAACAUAGGAAACGCCUUUUGAUCUAGGUAGGUUGUAUGAACCUUUAUUUAAACUGAGUUCUCCCAGUAAUGCGGAAAUUAGCGAACUUUUGCCAGAACCGGUGGGACCUAUUACAAUUGACAGUUUAUUUCUGGGAAACACAAUGUUCAAAUCUCGUAAGCAAAAAUCUCCAGGAGACGGAUUGGAUACCCAAGUUAAAGAAGCAUUGAAAAAACCAAUUUCCUGGGAAGUAUCUUCAAUAGUAUUGACAGGAUCCACUUCAUCGGGGUCAUUUAAAAAGUCAGAAACCCUACCAAUGGAAACGAAAAUUUGAACUAUUUGACGCAUAAGAUAGGCAAUCCAAGAAAAUUGUGUACGAAUGAAAGAAAAUAAGGAUAUAGAGGUAAAAGCUAUUGAUGGUGUAAUAGUUUGGCCCAUUAUGGUAGUAAAAACUACAAAAGUUGCGAACAUACUAAACACAGGAAGUGAUUCAACUAACACCUGUAUACAAAUCUCCAUUAGUAAUAACUUCCAAGUACGAUUGAGUUCGACUUGUCUCCGUUGUUUCACUCGAUCAAGCAUUGGCAAUUCCCAUCCAAAAAAUUUGGUAAUACGGAUGCUCUGCAAUAAUUCUGACAUGAGCUCGAUACGCGAAUCAGUUGCACGAUUAGCUCGCAAUGUAAGCUUUGCGACCAAAGGUCCUAAAACAAUAGGGACGGAACAAGUUAAAACAGUUAACGCUAAACCAACAUACGCACUCCACCCUAAAAGUUUUUGGAGAAGAUAAAUGGAUCCAGCAAUUUCAACAGGCGCACGAACAAUGAUAUGAAUAAACUCACGAAUUUCACCAAUAUCAUCCACAUCAGUAGAAAUUAAAUUGUUGGAUCUUCCAACUUUUGAAUCCCCCGAUUUGUUUUGAACAAAUCGAGAUCGAAUGACUUUGUUGUAUAUUUGCUGUACAAGAGUUGUGUAAGAACGCGCGAGGUAACGAGUCGACAUGAACAAAUAAAACUGGGUAAAAAGAGAAGUGAGAAAGGGGCCAGUUAACAAAAGGACAAUCCAAACCAAUGGAUUAACUGAACUAGAUGAAGGUGAUUCCAAAUGCUUUAGAAGACGAUUUAAGGCAAUAGGAGAAAGAAACUGACAGACGCUGACCAUAAAACUGGAAACACCCAUCCCCAAGAUUUGUCUCCAAAAUAUCUUAUGUAUAGUAAUAAAUAGGGAAGGGGUUUUCAUGCGUUCGAAACGAUAUGUCCAAGCUUUGUUCUUAUCAUAAUCUGGUAUAACCGGAGUAUCGUCAACUUCAACGACACGACGCUUAGCUGUCAAAACUAAUGGAUUCAGGUAUCCAUAGGAGCAUGCAAAAUUGAACAUACUACAGACCUGUUCAGCAGAAGGCUGAUAGUUAUCCUCAGGAAAUAAAGGAUACCAAACACGGGGGGUGAACAAUGGGAUAAAAUUCCCCACAAUGGUAAUAAAAAAGUAAAACCAUAGGAAAGGAGAAUAGCUAGAGAGAGGAGGAUGGUCUACGAAAAAAAAGGGGUAAGAGUAGAAAUGAAAGAUGGGGGGAAGAAGGAGUAAAUUAAGCAAAACUGCUGCAUGAUACAAGGUCGGUCGCGCACGUGGAUAAAUCAUUCGAAGAGAAUGCAAAAGAAACAAAUGGACGGAAUAUGCAAGUAAGCAUAUUUUUACAGGAGGAUCAGAAAAUGCAGUAGGAAAAGCGUCAUUUACAAACAUGAAAGCAGUCAUUCCCAAAAAGAGAAUAGACAGAAGCCAUAACAAAAUUCCAUGAGCUUUUCGCAGCCCUGAAAAUUCACUGCCGACGGUCUGUUUAACAGUAAACGACCGAGUAAUCCAUCGAUAAAUUAAAUACAGAUAUAAACACACAAGACCACUCUCCAAAGAAUAUUUAUACCAUGAUGGUGCCUCAUUUAAGUAAGGUUGAUCAUAAUGUGUAGGAAAAAUAGAUAUCGCAGAUAAAGAAAAAUCUGAAAGGGAAUAGUACAAAGAGGUUGGUACACGACCAACUCCAAAA